rnacentral:rRNA from 1 species
GACGAACGCUGGCGGCGUGCCUAAUACAUGCAAGUCGAGCGAGCGGAACUAACAGAUUUACUUCGGUAAUGACGUUAGGAAAGCGAGCGGCGGAUGGGUGAGUAACACGUGGGGAACCUGCCCCAUAGUCUGGGAUACCACUUGGAAACAGGUGCUAAUACCGGAUAAGAAAGCAGAUCGCAUGAUCAGCUUUUAAAAGGCGGCGUAAGCUGUCGCUAUGGGAUGGCCCCGCGGUGCAUUAGCUAGUUGGUAAGGUAAAGGCUUACCAAGGCGAUGAUGCAUAGCCGAGUUGAGAGACUGAUCGGCCACAUUGGGACUGAGACACGGCCCAAACUCCUACGGGAGGCAGCAGUAGGGAAUCUUCCACAAUGGACGCAAGUCUGAUGGAGCAACGCCGCGUGAGUGAAGAAGGUUUUCGGAUCGUAAAGCUCUGUUGUUGGUGAAGAAGGAUAGAGGUAGUAACUGGCCUUUAUUUGACGGUAAUCAACCAGAAAGUCACGGCUAACUACGUGCCAGCAGCCGCGGUAAUACGUAGGUGGCAAGCGUUGUCCGGAUUUAUUGGGCGUAAAGCGAGCGCAGGCGGAAGAAUAAGUCUGAUGUGAAAGCCCUCGGCUUAACCGAGGAACUGCAUCGGAAACUGUUUUUCUUGAGUGCAGAAGAGGAGGGCGGAACUCCAUGUGUAGCGGUGGAAUGCGUAGAUAUAUGGAAGAACACCAGUGGCGAAGGCGGCUCUCUGGUCUGCAACUGACGCUGAGGCUCGAAAGCAUGGGUAGCGAACAGGAUUAGAUACCCUGGUAGUCCAUGCCGUAAACGAUGAGUGCUAAGUGUUGGGAGGUUUCCGCCUCUCAGUGCUGCAGCUAACGCAUUAAGCACUCCGCCUGGGGAGUACGACCGCAAGGUUGAAACUCAAAGGAAUUGACGGGGGCCCGCACAAGCGGUGGAGCAUGUGGUUUAAUUCGAAGCAACGCGAAGAACCUUACCAGGUCUUGACAUCUAGUGCCAUUUGUAGAGAUACAAAGUUCCCUUCGGGGACGCUAAGACAGGUGGUGCAUGGCUGUCGUCAGCUCGUGUCGUGAGAUGUUGGGUUAAGUCCCGCAACGAGCGCAACCCUUGUUAUUAGUUGCCAGCAUUAAGUUGGGCACUCUAAUGAGACUGCCGGUGACAAACCGGAGGAAGGUGGGGAUGACGUCAAGUCAUCAUGCCCCUUAUGACCUGGGCUACACACGUGCUACAAUGGGCAGUACAACGAGAAGCGAGCCUGCGAAGGCAAGCGAAUCUCUGAAAGCUGUUCUCAGUUCGGACUGCAGUCUGCAACUCGACUGCACGAAGCUGGAAUCGCUAGUAAUCGCGGAUCAGCACGCCGCGGUGAAUACGUUCCCGGGCCC